UAUAGCCACACAAACACACAGUGAUUCCUUGUUUAAAAUUCCUGGAGGUGAAACGUUACUAUGGAUCAGAGCGCGGUCAAGCGAACAUGAAUCAAGACGGAAUGUCAACCAGCAGGUUUCGGUGAGAAAAUUGUGGUUAAAAAGUCAGUUCUUACGGGCGAAAAGCUGAGCUUGCGCCGUCCGUACAGCUGCCGUCAACUCCCCUGAGACACUGAGCGUCAAGACACCCGUGGAGACACUCUUCCGACUAUCAGUUGAGAGAGAGAGCAAGAGAGAGAGAGAGAGAGAGAGAGGGGAUGUGAAUCACUGCGUGAGAUGGAUAUCAGAAAGUUUUUCGCCCGCAGCAGGGAAGAAGCAGCGAGGAAUGAAGUCGAGACCCAGGAUGGACCGCUCGUCGGGACCCAGGAUGGACCGCUCGCCUGUGUAUCGGUUGGGGACAUCUCUACGAUGCUGAGCCGACUCCGCUUGGGAUGGUUUCCUGUGGACGGGACUCUUGCUGCUGUCUUGGAUCCGCUUUGAACUGAACUGUCGCGGCUGUGUUGGAGCCACUAUGGAUUUAACUUUCACAGUAUCAUGUUAGACCCGCUCGACAUCCAUUGCUUUCGGUCCCCUAGAGGGGGGUGGGGGGGUUGCCCACAUCUGAGGUCCUCUCCAAGGUUUCUCAUAGUCAGCAUUGUCACUGGCGUCCCACUGGAUGUGAAUACUCCCUGCCCACUGGGUGUGAGUUUUCCUAGCCCUUUUGCGGGGUUCUUCCGAGUCGUAGUCGUAAUGGUUUGUACAGUCCUUUGAGACAUUUGUGAUUUAGGGCUAUAUAAAUAAACAUUGAUUGAUUGAUU